rnacentral:rRNA from 1 species
GAUCAUGGCUCAGGAUGAACGCUGGCGGCGUGCCUAACACAUGCAAGUCGAACGGACUUACAUUGAAGCCUAGCGAUAUGUAAGUUAGUGGCGGACGGGUGAGUAACGCGUGGGUAACCUGCCUUGUACUGGGGGACAACAGUUGGAAACGACUGCUAAUACCGCAUAAGCGCACAGCUUCGCAUGAAGCAGUGUGAAAAACUCCGGUGGUACAAGAUGGACCCNGUCUGAUUAU